UCAAAACAGGACCUGUGAUGGGCCCCCAUAAGCCGAACAACAGUGUGUAAAAUUACACCAAACUGUGCAAUUUUUCCUUUCAAACGCAGCACAGAGCUUCACAGGUCAAUUGAUGAGUUGUAUGGCUGUGUGAAUUAAUGUGUGAAAAAUUAAAUUUUUAAUAUUUUUUUUUUGGUGAAUAGUGAUAACUUUUUAACUUUUUAAGUAAUUUUUUGACUUUUUGGGGAGAUGCCAAACUUGGCCUUAGUAUAGUUACAAAAUUUCUUUUAUGAAAUUUUAAAAUAAACUAGAAAUUAUCUAAAUUUAAAUCUAAGUCUAAAUCAUUAUAAAAUACGGAAAGUGUUUGUCUAUUUUUUUUUCCCUUCUCAAAGUACCUUUAUAAAUUUAAAAAAGAAAAGAAAAAGAUGAUUUGUGGCUGCUGUAGAGGUGUAUCAUUACGGCUACUGUUGUAUGCUAAUUUGGUGUGCCUGUUGCUGUAUGCUGACUUGGGGCUAUCUUCAGAUGCAGUGUUAUGCUAAUUUGGAGCCUGCUGGUGUAUGCUGCUGGUUGGCUGUUGAUCUGUUGCAUGGCAUAGGAGGUCUGUUGGCGUAUGAAGAUGAUUGGAGGUUGCAAAUAGGGAGGUUGCAAAUAGGUAUGUUGCUGCUUGCUACUAGUAGUCAGUGGUUGUCAUUGCUAAAAUUGCUUUU